rnacentral:tRNA from 1 species
GGGGUUGUAGCUCAGUGGUAGAGCAUCUGCCUUGCGUGCGUGAGGCACUGGGUUCAAACCUCAGCACCA